CGCACCGCAGACCCCCAAAGAAAGGGCCCACAAGACGGAAGCGUGAACGCAGUAGCCUUUGCGCAAGUACGCGCUCCUUUCUGCCCUCACCGCCACCCCCCACUUCAACUCCAUCCGGGAGUGCAUCUGGGGUCUCGACGACGACGGAGGAGGAGGAGGAGGAGGGGGCAGGGUGACCUCACCACCUCUCUUCCCGUCUUUCCCCAGCGCAAACAGCGCACGCAAACACAUAACAGAAACGUGCGCGCAGUCGCGCCCUCUUCCCGUCUUUUCUUUUUUUCAUUUUCUUUCAUCAUUGUUGUCGUCUAGACGUGGGACGUCCUCUCAUUGUCUCCUCUGCCUUCGUGUGCCUCGGGUGGUCGUGCCGCCUUCAGCGCUCGCGCCUCAUUUUUUUUUUGAUGCAUUGUGCCUUCUUUCCGCUCAACCGGGGGGCGUGGCGUGUGUGGGUCGUUGGCGACGUUACGCGUUGCUGACUGCUUCUUUUCCUCCCUUGCGUUCUGCGUCUUCGUCACAAUCUACUGCAGCCUGCAUGAUGAACGACCUGCCUCGCUGGCCGCGGUACCGGCCGAUCCGCGUGAUCGGCCAGGGCGGCUUCGGCACGGUGUACCUCUGCGUGGACACGGAGCCUACCAGCACCAUGUAUGAGCAGGAGGUGGCUGUCAAGGCCGUCUCGCUCGGCGCCCUUUCCGAUGAGGAGGUGCUCAUGGUCAUGUCAGAGGUGUCGCUGCUAAAGAAUGUUGGCCACCCGAACAUCAUCACCUACUACGACUCGUUCCUGUACGAUGAUGACGAGUCGGCGCUGUCACGGAAGGGAGGCGCCACGCUUGUUCCACAGGCUGAUGGCGACGACAUCGCUACAGCUGGGGCAGGCUUUCGAUCGCAGUGGCUCUGUCUUGUGACGGAGUACAUGGACGGCGGCGACCUUGCCGCCCUGCUGCGGCAGUACAGCGGUCAAGAACUGAACAGCACCAAAGAUGUAUGCGAGGCCACCAGUUUGAGUACAGUGGGCACGGCCGCCGCAGCGCGCAAGCGGGGCCGGCCUUCAGCUGCUGUAACAGAAGACGCCGCUGCAGGGGCCGAUCAAGGGGAGGUGAGUGAGGGAGACUGGGUAAGCCGCAGUCGACUACACCGCCAGCGCCUCGCAACAACUCUCCGCGCUGCACCGCGCCCACCAAUGUCGACGUUUCCCACGACAGUGACGAAGGCGACCGUGAUGCGGUGGGAUGGCCUCGACGCCUCCGUCGACCAGACGUGGAUGUCUGACGCCUCCGCGGCGGCGAUGCCGACCACCCCGCUCGGAGCCACCGACGCCGAGGCCGCAGAUGGGGCGGCUUGCGGCAGUCGCAAUGGCAUCCAAAUGCCCACUGCGGCUGCCAGCAAUGCCGCCGUUGGCUCUGCUGCCACGGGCGCGCCGCACCUCACCAACGUAAGCUUCAAGAACACGGUUGCCGCUGCCGGCCUCGCCUCCGAGCCGCUCGAGCCCCAGCUCCCGCCUCCGCCGAAUAAACUCUGGGUCGAGUCCUUUCUAAUCACGGAUAUCGCGAAACAGUGCCUCGACGCCUUGGCGUACCUGCAUGCCUUGUGCAUCGUUCACCGCGACAUCAAGCCGUCCAAUAUUUACCUCUCGAAGCGCGACGGCACCGUAAAGAUUGGCGACUUCGGCGUGUCGAAGCUGCUCCAGCCCGCAGAGCCCUUCACGAUGACGUUUGUGGGCACCCCGUUUUACCUCUGCCCUGAACUCUGCAUGGGCGACCCCUACUCCUUCGGUGCCGAUAUCUGGGCUUUGGGUGUGGUCCUGUACGAGCUCUACUGCCUGAAACUUCCCUUCACCUCCGACAACGUUCUGGCGCAGAUCUACGUCAUCACGGAAGGCGUAUAUGACACUGCCGCGCUGGGCACGCCACACGCCUUCGCAGAGUCCCAGCAGGCCGUGCUGGAGACGCUCUACGGACCCUCCUUUCUCCAUUCUGAGCGCCUGCUGCACUCCCUUGUGGUGAGCAUGGUUGAUAAAAUGCUUCAGGUUGAUCCGGCAGAGCGGCCCUCAGCCGAGGAGUUGCUAACGGGUGUGUUCGGCGCCGGCAGCACGUCACGGUGCGGCUCGAGCGCAGGUCUUCCGCUUGCCCCGGUGGCGCCGACGCCGGUGCACCGCCCCCUGUCCACCUGUGCGCUAGCCCAUGACUCCGUCUCCACUCCUCCGCAGCGUGGUCCAUCAUCAUUCGCUGUCAAGCCUGAGGGAGUAGCGGCGACCACGCCGCAAGCGCCGUCCAAUCGUUUAGGCCCUUCAGCAAGUGAGCAGCACGCACGGUGGGCCGGCAGCCUCGUCGCCGCUGCAUCCAGUACGCUUCAGCAGGAGCAAGGGGCAUCUCGUGUUUCCCUCACAGCUCCCGGGAGUCGCCGCAGCCGCGAGAGGAGAGACGACGUGGUCGAUGACUUCACCGGCGCGCACGCCCCUCUCGCCGUCCGCGUGAAGACGUCUGUGGGGGACAUACUGCAGGGCAUGCCGUCCGCGCAGCGUGAGCGUCUCGGCAACCGUGCAGCGGCAGAGGAGAGGGAUGAAAAGGAGGAGGUCUCGCGGGCCAUGCUGCCUGUGGCAUCGCCAAAGCCGACGCCCUCUUCGGCGCUCUUUCAUUCUACCGUGAAGGCCGGCGUGGGAAGCGACAGCGCCAACCGACAAGCCGCGCUCUCGCCGAGCCUUGCAGGACGAGAACGGGCAGAGGUGGCCGCGCUGCCCGAGAAGCGCAGAGGCAGUACCGUGGGUGCUGAGCCGCCGUCGCUCGAGCUUGCUGAGCACACGGCUCUGCAGCUUCUCCCUGCGGCGCCGUUCCCGCUGGAGCUGCUCUACGGCGGCCUCGUCAACAUCGGUGACUCUGCCGUGAACAGCACAGGCGCGACUGGAGAGCAGCGUACCGUCGACGACAAGGCAUCGGUGAGUACCCCGCUAGGGGCGCAGGCCACGCAGCAAGCAUCACCACUAUCAUCUAUGUUGCCAGCUGACAGGCCACCUGCUGUGCGCACCCACUGCGACGAUGACGAUGCGCUGGACCACCCCAUCGGUGCGCAGACGCGCAGCGAGUUCAUGGCGCUGAUGGAGAACAUUCCGUGGCUCAAGAACGCCGAAGUCUUCUCCUCCAUUCCGCUCUCCGCCGGCUGUGACAACGUCAUGCUGGUUGAGCGAGCGAAUCGCAGCUCCGUGUCUGCAAGCGGCGCCGACGGUGCUCUGAGCUCUGCCACCGACAACACAGCAGCAGGCGGCUCCGAGGAGAGGGCAGAGGGUGCUGCGCCGGCGUCGAAGGGUUCGCGCACUGCGCCGCACCAGCGGCAGUCGCAGCUGCCGUCGCCGUUGCGGUCACCGCACAGCCCGGCAACUGGAACGGAAGACAUGCAGAUGUCCUCGAAUCCCCUGCUGCCCGUAUGCCGCGCCGGGGUCGUAUCUCCCACGGCCCCCCGCAUCGAGGUGAAAACGAUCAGCGGGACGACCAUCACUAUGGGAGGCAUCCGCCGCCCUCCUAGCUCGCGGUCUCCGUUUCAGCGAGGCUCCGCCGGAGCAGCGGAGAUGGCCGACGCAGAGAGCACACAGUCAGUGUCGCAGCGCCGCGUCUCAGGCGGGCUCACUGCUGCGAGUCGACAGCCGCCGUGCAUCCCAGCUGCCCCGCUCCGCCAACGUGUGUCGGUGACUGCCUUGCCCACGACGGUACUGACGAGCACGCCAAAGCCGCCAGCCUCGCGGCCGGACGAGCCGCAGAUGACACAGGAUGCCAGUGGUCCUGCGUGUCCGUCGCCGUCGCUGCAACCGAGGGGGGACGCGGACAGGCAGCCGACAGCGGUCACGGUGGCAAGCAAGGGUGCUUCUGCCUCGCACCCGCGGCUGUUCUCAUCCUCCGGUCUUGAGCCCACAGUGGGCAAUGCCGCCAGUGAGGCGCGGCUGCGCCCCUUUAGCGCUGCCCAAAUGCGUGCUACAGCGAUAGCAUCGGCGAGCGGGGCCGCUCCACCCACCCCCAAGGCGCACUCUCCCGGUCACUGCGAGGGCUAUUCCACCACUGAGCUGGAGGCCCUCCUGCAGGCGAAGCUGCUAACACACUAUCAGCGGCGGCAGCGGCAGCUGGGCGCGCAGCGGACGCAGCAUGCAGCACAGGAGGCGGCGAAGGCCGCAGCCCGCGCAAAGCUGAAGGCGCUGUAUGAUGAGGUCUUCGUUUCUCGACUCGACCCGGCGUCGUCGGACGCGGCCUACACCGCUCCGUACCACUCCGGCGGCACCAUAGGCGGUCCUUCAGAGGUGCCGGAUGAGUUUGUCGCCCGCACCGACAAGCGCUCGAGGGCUGCGAGUGACUCAGGCGACAGCGGAGCUCACUUCCCGGGCGAUGACGCCGUGGCAGCACCAGUCGCACGCGCAGCGACGCAGCUACCCGCGCUGGAGGCGGACGCUUGGGCAAAGGGCGCCCCUGUGGCGGUGCACUUAACGAAGGAAGCGGCGUCCCCGUCGCCUCCGUCGGCCCCGUCCUCUCAUGGCUCGCCGCUGCCUUUUUCCGUCGACGCGACGGCGCGACAGGCCGAGACGGAGGAGUCGGUGCUGCGAGCUCUCUCCGCUGUCUACUCUCGUCCUGUUGAAAUACCAGCGACGACUGUGCCCGGUACUGGGACGCUCAUGGACGAUGGCGAUUACGGCAAGGACUGGCUAGCAGCGACCCCCGCGGUGCGUCGUAUCCGCGAGGCCGCGUCGCUGGCGGUCGCCGUGGAGCAUCAGUGCGCUGCCUUUCGCCGUGGCAAGGAACCUGCAAGGUUGUGCGUCGCUCCGCCGUGGCGGCCACCGCACGACUCACGUGACGUGCCGGGUCUCUGGGAGACGUCCUCAGCGGAGGAGGAGGCAGAUGUGUCGGCACGUGGCCGGCUGGGGUGCCCCGCGCCAGCAAGUGUGCGGGAAGAAGUACGGUGGCGUUGGAGUGCUCCGCCUUCUGACCUGGAUGACACGGCAGGGACGACGUCCGAGGACGAAGAGAGGGGGGCGUUGCUGUCGAGCACCGCUUCCUCAUCAGCUGUGCCUUCGAUAUCCACGUCGCCGUCGUCGUCGUCAUCGGCGUUGUUGGCGUCGACGUCGGGAGCCAAUAUGCUUGAUGCACCUGGGCAAACUUCAAAGACGCCCUCCAUUACCGCGGCACCAGAAGCGGAUGUGCAGCAGCGCUUACAAAGUCGGAAACUCGUGCGUAGCGGGGGCGAGCUGGGCGGUGGUGUGAUUGGCUCGCGGCGUAGCCCUGCCGAUGCCCAUGCUGGGGGGCCGCGUCCAUCUUCGCUGCUGGGAUCGCCCAUGUAUCUGGAGCUCGACAGCGUUGACGGUGGCAUCAGAGGUGGACACACACGGGACGACGGCAUCCACGGGGUGUCUUUGAGUAUGUCGAGUCUGGCGGACGCGUCGGCGAAGGCGACAGCGGCGGCGGGUCACGAAAAAGACGAGACGGACUCGGCCUCUGCAAGCUCAUCCUCGACUACAUCGACUAUAUCCUCCACGUCAUCGGCAUCGCACUCCUCUGCCAGUCACAGCUCCCGUGCUUUGAGUCACCCGCACCGCAGCAAGGACGAGGCGCGGCAUGACGUGAGCAGCAGCUCACACGAUGAUGGCAGCAGCGCCCAAAACAGCAGCAGCGGCAGCAGCUCAGACGAUGCGCCAUCCUCGGCAUCGCAGACGGCAUCUUUUUCAUUUCACAGCUUUGGUGGCGCCGCAUCCUCGACGGACGCUAACGACGACGAUGCGGAACCCUGCGCGGCAACGAAGAGGGCGGACAGCGACGGCGACGAGGACAUGUCGUACACGUAUACGGUGCAGCUGGACGCGGUGACGGGGCGGCGCCACUUCGAAUACGUGUGCCCCGUGACAGUGGAGGUGGUGGGCGCUUUGCCAGGCGGUUGCCGCGUCGUGUCGGCAGUAGCGGCCUUGCGCGCUCUGGACUUCGCCAAGGCGGCGCCCUUGUCCGCGAUGCAGGUGCCCCCUAGCGAGCACUGCAGCAUGAAACAAGGCAGUGAUGGGCUGGCGACGCGGGUGCUAACGGCGGAGGCGCCGACGGAUUUGUCCGCGACGCCGAGCCCGCACGAGGGCGGCGACGAUACGGCAGCCGCCAAUGGCGGCAUCAGCAGCUGCCCCGGCCAAGACAAGACAUUCCUGUUUGACGGAGAGUACCACACCAUGUGGCAGGAGGACGGUGGCUUCGGCGCUGCCGCUGCCUCGCUACCAACGCCGUCUGCCCCUGCUCCAUCCUCGUCGCUGUCGUCGUUGCCGCCGGACGCCGGAGCGACGGUGGGCUUCACGGCUGUACCAGGAAAGCAGCAGGGACAUGUACCGGCAGCGAACGGCAUGGCACCACCCGAAGGGUCCCAAUCGGCACGAGAGGCUACUCUUCACUCGGCACUCCCUUCGACCACCAACUGGCAGCCCGAUGCGACCGCGCGAGUCGCAGCUGCAUCGUCGAGCUGCGUCGAGGACGGCAACAACGAUGGCAACGGUGCCACUGCACACCUUCGCGGGCGCGCGGCCUCACUGCACUUGAGCGGAGAAACACGCGCGAGGGUGGCGGCGCCUCUUCGCCCUUCGCACGUGGCGCUAGCGGCGCUUUCCGAGGAAACUAUGGCGAAGGCACACGCGCCGCUGACUCACCCCUCCUUAGCGGAUUCCGACCCCACUAAAGUGAACACAGAGAUGCUGCCCGCCUCCAAGAGCGCCUCGAGCAACGCUGAUGGAAACCAAGCGAUGGGUUUCCUGUGCGACCGAGCUUGCACACAGGGCCAGACAGCGGUGACCCCCGCGCAGGAGAUCGCCGCGGUUAUGGAGACGACGUGGUGGGUGCGGGUACCUUCAAGUCCCUCAGCUUCAUCUCAGGGGCUGGGGACGUCGCAACAGCAGCACCAACUCACGGGAUCGCCCCAGUACAUCCAUCUUCCUCUGUCGCUCGCUCUCCGGCCGCUGCGGCAACGCACCCGUUUCGUCGGACUUCUGUGGCGUCUGUGGGUGUCUCUGAAGGUCAGUGAGCCGGCGCUGAGUCGGGUGCUUCUUCAUCGUCGCGGCGGCGCGCCGUCACCUUCUCCGGGUUGCACGUUUGCCGAGGCUUUCGGAGACUGGGUUACAGGCACCACACCUGCUCGCGAUACGGACACGGGUGAAUGUACUGAGGUGGAUGUCUCACAGCAGUCCUCGAGCGAGACGAGCACUAGCCUCCGCCUCGGCCGCACCAUCACAACCACCGCGACGACGGAGGCUUCCAGCAACAGCGACACGGCGGCUGAUUCGCAGGUGUUGCCGGCGUCAGGUUCUCUUACGGCGCCUUCGCGUCCCUCGCCGCUCAAGUGGGGGCUGUACUACGUGGAGGCGCGCACCUGGUGCGCUGUGCAACUGCGCACCGACGCGGACUGGGCUGUAGUGCGGCGCAAGAUAUCCGAGAUGGGUACAAUGCUGCCGUUUGUGCGCCUGUACCUGCUGCUCGAGGAGGCGGAGCCAACCUCAGAGUAGGCGGCGCCGUUGAGAUAAGGCGGGGGGGACCAUCGCCGAUGCCCCUCCACACUUCCUCAUUUUCCGGAUCUACACAUGCUGCCUGUUCAUAUGUUUGCGUGUCUUCGCCAAUGUGUUUUUACUCACCACAGCCCUUCCGGUUGUGAUGCAGAAGGGUAGGCCAGCAGGGAUGCAGGCCUCUCCCUCUGUCUCUGUUUUUCUGUGGGCGCAGAUGGCCGCACGCCGCGAUCAC
rnacentral:misc_RNA from 1 species